CAGUCGCCGCGGUAAUACGUAGGGUGCGAGCGUUAAUCGGAAUUACUGGGCGUAAAGCAUGCGCAGGCGGUUGUGUAAGACAGGUGUGAAAUCCCCGGGCUUAACCUGGGAACUGCGCUUGUGACUGCACAGCUAGAGUAUGGCAGAGGGGGGUGGAAUUCCACGUGUAGCAGUGAAAUGCGUAGAGAUGUGGAGGAACACCGAUGGCGAAGGCAGCCCCCUGGGCCAAUACUGACGCUCAUGCACGAAAGCGUGGGGAGCAAACAGGAUUAGAUACCCCCGUAGUCCCUGUCUCUUAUAC
rnacentral:rRNA from 1 species